rnacentral:rRNA from 1 species
UACAGAGGUGGCAAGCGUUGUUCGGAAUUACUGGGCGUAAAGGGCGCGUUAGGCGGCCUUCUAAGUCAGACGUGAAAUCCCCAGGCUUAACUUGGGAACUGCGUCUGAUACUGGGAGGCUUGAGUGCGGGAGAGGGAUGUGGAAUUCCAGGUGUAGCGGUGAAAUGCGUAGAUAUCUGGAGGAACACCGGUGGCGAAGGCGGCAUCCUGGACCGACACUGACGCUGAGGCGCGAAAGCUAGGGGAGCAAACGGGG